AUUUCUAACUCUAAAUAAUUUCCCCGCUACACCUCUCUUUUUCCCCUUCCCCCUUUCUUUCCUUUUUCCCUCUUUUCUCUUCCUCCGUGUGUGACUUCUUCCAGUCGAACCCUCAGCCAUCUUCUUCCUAACUCGUUUUCCCUAAAUUAAAUAAUUUCUCCAUUUUCUCUCCCAUUCUCAGACCCAAUUUUGUAUCCCCAUCUCAUACCCAAUUUUGUAUCCCAAUCCCAUACCCAUUUCUCAGUCUUUCUCCCUUUAUCCUUUUCUCAGUUUCUCUCUAUUUCUUUAUCCCCUUUUUUUUACUGCUGCCGUGCGCCAUUUCCGAGCAGAAGACAACCCAUUUCUGCUCUACCAGAUCAGGCCGCCUCUAUCAGGUAUAUACCCACUGUUCUCUUCUAAAGUAUAUAUUUAUAUAUAUAUAUAUAUAGAUACAUAUAUGUGUGUGCUUUCUUUUUCCCUUGAUAUAGUUGUUGUCACUCUCGUUCUCUCCCAUUGAUUUCACUCUUCGACCAGAACAGGUACGGUGGUUUUUUUUUUAUAUAUACUAUGUAUUAGCUUUUUUUGUUUGCAUUUAUAAUGUACAGAAUAUAUAAGAGUAAAAGUUAGAAAUUAAUAGUGGUUAAAAAAUUUAGCUAGGAGUGAAUUGUUUUAGGGGUUAAUAAAAUAUUUAGGUCUGUUUCUAUUUAUAUAUAGCUAAUGAUUUGAAAUAUUUGGCUGACAUUAAAAAGCAUACAAGAGAAUACACGUUGAAGACUUUAGAUUCUUGGCACUCUGUUGUUCAACUUGAUUAAAUGGUAAGUUUUUUUUUUUUUUCCGCUGUACGUUGUGGAACUAUUUAGUUCUUGUGUCUCAGGUGCAUUAACGUAUUCCUCUUGAAGGUUCCUUACAUUGGAGCAGCUUGGACAGAUGCAAAACUUGGUGUAGAAACGCAAAGGGUCAUUUUUUGCUAAGUUUUGCAUUGAUAGGAUAUUUCUUGCUAUUUCCUGCUAACAAGAUGCAAGAAACAUUGUAUAUUAUGCUGCAAUACAUAGAUAUAAAUAGUCUUAAAGUAGUCAUAUACACAUUAAAAACAGGGGAGCAUUAGUUUGAUACAAGAACAACAGUUACAAUUGAAGAAUGGUUUCUCUUUACUACCUAUUGUGUAUAUAUAGAAUUUCAAUCCAAACAGAUUAUUUAGUUACAACGUAGAAAGAUUUAUAUAUUGUUCAUGAAAAAAUUGUUUAUUUAGUUUCAAGAUAUAGUAGUUUCUCAUAUUUUGUUUAUUUUCUAUCUAGUUUAAUUCAUACUUUAUUUAACAUGCGUGUUUAUGCAGAAUGAUUUUGAUAAUUAUACUACACUACUUGACUAAGUUUUUUCAUUUGUAUUAUUCUCUUGUCUUAAUUUAAUGAGAUUUUAACCUUUUUGUGUUUCUUUCUUUGUCAUCAGUUUUCUUUGCAGUGUUUGAAAAAGUGAUUGAUUUGCUGACUUGCAAUUGAUUGGAGUAUAGGUUCAUCUUGAUAUCUUAACUGCUGGGUUUUUUAUUCUUGAUGUGGUUCUUUCACUCUUGUCUUGUUGCUAGAUCUAUAAAACUUCAUCUUGAGUUAAAGAUUUUCUGGCUCUCAUUUAGAUUGCAAAUUCUCUUAUAUAAAUGUAUAUAAUUGUUGAGUUUUGCGGUUCCUUCUUGAAUUUAUUUGUUCUAAUUUUUAAGGCAAUUGUUUUAGGAAUUAAAUCCCUCAUAAUUCAAAUGAAUAUGUUACUAAAACUUGUUUAAAUUUUGACUUAAAGAAAAUCUUUGUUCAACUUUAUCUGUGUUUUUUCUUGGUAAGAUUUAUUCUCUUCUUGUAUUCAUUCACUAUUAUUAUUCAUUUCUUGGGCAGCGCAAAGAAGACUUGAAGAAAACUUGAUUUGAGAUAUGGUUGGGCACUUAUUGGACAUGUGAUUGAAAUAUGGAAUAUUAUUUAUAUUUAUUAUCACUCUAGCUACAGCAUAUAUAAUAUAUAGAUAGUUGGUACAUGCACAUAAAUAUUAUAAAGAUUGUAGGUAUAAAUAUAUGUAUAUAUAUAUUUAUAUUAGUUUUUUGUCAAAAUGUAAUACUUCUUUGCAUUUUGAAAAUAGCAUAAACUAAGUUAUGAUGUAGUUUUCUAUGUAUUUUAGGUGGACAAGCUAAGCAUUUGACUCACCCCAAGGCUGAGAAGAAAGAAGACAGACUUCAAAGAAACUAUUUUGCAACAGUUUGCAAGAGGCUAAAACUCUACUUGGAUAUUUAAGAGAACCAAGACAAUUAUAUAAGAGAACCAAGGCAACAUGAAAUUCUUCUUCAAGUUGUUGGAUGGUUAUUCCUACAGAUCAUGAUUUCAGCAUUCUGCAGAGGCGGGCUUUUGGAAGAAGCAAAGCAGUUGGCCAAGGAUUUUGAAGCAAGAUAUGACACAUUGUAAUAUAUACUCUUGCAGGGAACCAGUCGGCCUACUCACUACCAUGUCUUGUUUGAUGAGAACAAUUUACCUGCUGAUGCCUUGCAAGUCCUCACCAACAAUCUCUGCUACACUUAAAUACUAUUCAUUUUCAUUUUUUGUUCUUCGAUUCCAACAUUCUAUUGUGAACUACUUUUGUUGUUCCUGUUCUUGACCUGAUACAAGCAUUUAAGAGGCAUAAUGUUAUGUUUUUUUUUUUGUAGGAUGGAAGGAGCAAUGUGCCAAGUACUCUCCUUACUCCACAUACUUUGAGGGCAGACUCAGCUCUGCCAUGCCCAACUCUGUGUACAACCAACGUAACAACUCAGAAAAUGGAAACCAUUCUAACAUCAUCUGAACAGGAUCUUGCAGGCAAAGGACACCAAGUGAAUUAGAUAGAGAGGUUAAGAACUUGAAGGUGGCAUUUACUGACCUGUUUUUGAAGCAUAACACUUUCAAAGAAACUUCAAAGCCAUCGAGAUAUUGAUGCAAAGAAUGGAAGAAUGUAUUUCACUAAUUUUUGUAUACAUUUCUUGUUUUGUAUUUAGUGAUAAAGGAAUCUGAAUUGGGCAUAAAUUAUGUUGUAAUAUGAUUUCUUAAGCCUAGACUAGUAGACUAAAUAUUGUAAUUACAUUUGACUAAUUAAUAAAAAUCUAUUUAUGUUACCUUA